rnacentral:rRNA from 1 species
CAGUCGAGCGCGAAAAGUUUUCGGACUUAGUAAAGCGGCGGACGGGUGAGUAACGCGUGGGAAUCUGCCCAGUAGUGGGGGACAACAGCCGGAAACGGCUGCUAAUACCGCAUACGCCCUACGGGGGAAAGGGGGGGAUCUUCGGACCUCUCGCUAUUGGAUGAGCCCGCGUCGGAUUAGCUAGUUGGUAGGGUAAAGGCCUACCAAGGCUACGAUCCGUAACUGGUCUGAGAGGAUGAUCAGUCACACUGGAACUGA